rnacentral:rRNA from 1 species
CAGUAGCCGCGGUAAUACGGAGGGUGCAAGCGUUAAUCGGAAUUACUGGGCGUAAAGCGCACGCAGGCGGUCUGACAAGUCAGAUGUGAAAUCCCCGGGCUUAACCUGGGAACUGCAUUUGAAACUGGCAAGCUAGAGUCUUGUAGAGGGGGGUAGAAUUCCAGGUGUAGCGGUGAAAUGCGUAGAGAUCUGGAGGAAUACCGGUGGCGAAGGCGGCCCCCUGGACAAAGACUGACGCUCAGGUGCGAAAGCGUGGGGAGCAAACAGGAUUAGAUACCCCAGUAGUCCCUGUCUCUUAUAC